rnacentral:rRNA from 1 species
CACGGUAAACGAUGGAUGCCCGCUGUAUGCGAUACAAUGUAUGCGGCCAAGCGAAAGCGUUAAGCAUCCCACCUGGGGAGUACGCCGGCAACGGUGAAACUCAAAGGAAUUGACGGGGGCCCGCACAAGCGGAGGAACAUGUGGUUUAAUUCGAUGAUACGCGAGGAACCUUACCCGGGCUUGAACUGCAGCGGAAGGCGGCAGAGAUGCCAACGCCCUUCGGGGCCGCUGUGGAGGUGCUGCAUGGUUGUCGUCAGCUCGUGCCGUGAGGUGUCGGCUUAAGUGCCAUAACGAGCGCAACCCCUCUCCGUAGUUGCCAUCGGGUGAUGCCGGGCACUCUGCGGACACUGCCACCGCAAGGUGCGAGGAAGGUGGGGAUGACGUCAAAUCAGCACGGCCCUUACGUCCGGGGCUACACACGUGUUACAAUGGGGGGCACAGCGAGCUGGGCGUACGCAAGUGCGUCCGAAUCAAGAAAUCCCCCCUCAGUUCGGACUGGGGUCUGCAACCCGACC